AUUAUUAAAAAAAAAAACAUGUCUUUCCUUCUUCUGCAAAAUCGUCAAACUUCAAGGUCGAAAAAUCCCUAACUUUCCUCUUAAUUCCCUUCGAAAAUCAACAUCAUCGCCCGCUUCCCUUCUUCCACGCGUCUUCUCGUUCGCAAAAUCGAAGCACCCAAAAAAUCGUUCUUCCCGCUUGAAAACCCAAUAUCAUCUGUCGUUCGAAAAGUAGUCGUCCCUUGCAUUUUCGCUGUCCGUUGUCCACUGUACGAGUCUAAACCACCGUUCGAAAAGAAGAAGACAGAAAUCUUCAAGUGUCUUCACCGAAAAUCUCAGUUCUUUAGCCGAGUAGAACAAUGUAUUUGUGAUGCCAAACAAGAAGUCAAAGUAUCUAGAUCUUCAAGUAGAUUUGAGAUUAUAUUUUAUCUUUCUCAUAUUGAAUUUGCUGCACUCAAAAUUUUAUGGGGUAUGUAUUUGUGUCGCACACUUAGCUACCGAGGAGCUGAAUUUGACAUUGUGGAAGCACCGUUGGAAGCUGAGAUGAUGGUAUAGUGUAUUGGUUCCCCUAAUUUUGGAAAUGUAUGCAUUAGCUGCUGAAUUUUGAGCAAAGUUGUGAUUAGAAUUGAUGACAGCAAGUGCUUAUGUUACUAGUGACAAGCCUAACACCAAUCAACUUUGGCGAUUAUUUUGGGCAAGUCAUCAUGUAUAUUUAUUUGGGAUUUUUCUUAAAAGUUAAGUUUCUCUUUAAGUUGGACUUUUAAAUAUUUAUUUAUUUUAAUUUAAUUGAAGUGUGUUACAAAGGUUUAUAUGUUCUAUACCAUUUCUCUUACUUCAAAACUUCGUCCUUUUGUAGCGUUUCUUCAAGCAUAUGUGUAUGUCUGCAAAGGUUCCUGCUAGUGUUAGACUAGCUAGCUAAGCAAUCAUUAUUGGAAGAUAAAUGUGUAUUAUUGAGAUUGAAAAUCCUAACUUGAUCAAGCCAAAAACCUUGAAGCUAGAGAUAUUGAUAUCGAAAAAACAACUAAACUUUCAAGGCGUGAAUGGUUGUUAUAAGGAUGCUUUUCUUGCAGUUUAGGAACUUGUAUUUAUUCUUUUUACCAAGGAAGAGAUAGAGAAACAAAAGGCUCACGAGCAAUUCAUGAGGCUCCAAGAAUAAGGAAAAUCUGAACAAGCUAGGAAAGAUUUAGGUUGAUACACAAAGAUCAUACUCACAGACCGAGUUAGACGAGAUGCAGGUUGAGUUAGCUGACUUUCUGGGUUUGUACAUAUGAUUGCGACUUAUUUGUGAUUCUAAAGUAGGAAAAUUAUUUUUUGUGGUUGUCAUUCUAAAAUUUUAUGUAUAUAGAUAAUAUAGAUGAAUUUUUUGAAUUGUUCAUAUGGAGGUGGGUGGAGUUUAUGGGUACAAUUAAAAACACUACCAUAUUGUUUAUUGGUGGGUUAUGUUAGUUCAUUAGAGAAUGUUGAGUUGAAUUCUUGGCAAUCUGAUGGAAUUAUUUAUUUUGGGUUUAUAAA